GGAUCAGGAAGUUGUAAUAAUUCUUGAAACAAUUUUUUUAUCAUUGUUAAGGGAAAUUUCCUUUUUGCAAAUUAAAUCGAUAGAAUAGUAUUAUUUUAACAAACUGAAGAGGUAAAUCUAAUAAGAUAAAAAAAGUUUAACUAUUCCGUUCCUUUUGUAUCAGGAUGGGAGGAAAAAUUCUUGUAUUAAAAUUUCCCGAAUAGAAAGGAUUUUUCCUUCUAUUAAAUUUUCGUUUCACUGAAAUUUAGAAUAAGGGGAAGGAAACUAAAAGUUAGUCGUCUUUCUAUAUCUGGUUCUUGUUGGAUUAAUUAAAUUAUUCUAUAGAUUAGUUUUUUACUUUUUAAGUUAAAGAAAUAAUUCUUUAGUUUAGUUUUGGAGGGAUAAGCUUCUAGAACAAUAAGAAAUGUAAGUUAAAAAUAUUUCAUUUUAUUUAUUGAUUCAUGAAUUCAGAUAGAAUUGAUUUAACUUAUUUUUACUUUAAGAAGUUGCAAGAAUGGGAGAUAAACUUUAUAUCUCCAACUAAAAUCUUUCAAUGAGUAAAUAAUGAAAAUAAUAGUAAGAAACUCGGCAAAAUGUAGGCUUGCAUGUUUAAUAAAAACAUCUCCUCUUGAAAUAAAGCAUAUGAGGUAGGUUCUGCUCCAUGCGUUAGUAAAUUGCCGCAGUAUUCUAACUGUGCUAAGGUAGCAAAAUAAUUUGGCCUAUAAUUAAGGUCUGGAAUGAAUGAUCUGACAAAGUCUAUACUGUCUCACUUUUAAUUGUUGAAGUUGGAUUGUUUGUAAAAAUACUAACAUGUGAAAGAGGGACGAAAAGACCCUAUAGAUCUUUUAAUUUUUAUAUAUUAAAUUCUCUCUAAGUUUAAGAUUUAUAAAAUUUACUUGGGAUAAGGCUGAAAAUAAAUUUUGGUUUCAGAAAAAGAUUGAUUAGUCAAUUUUAAAGAAGUUUUAUAAAAGAUAAGUUACCUUAGGGAUAACAGGACAAUUUCUUUACUAAGAACUUAUUGGUAAAGGGGCUUGUUACCUCGAUGUUGAAUUAAGUUUUCUUUUACUUGUAGAAGAGUACUGAGUUAGUCUGUUCGACUAUUAAAAACUUACAUGAUUUGAGUUUAGACCGACGAGAGUCAGGUCAGAUUCUAUCUUCUUUUUUAUUACUCUAUCUUGUACGAAAGGACUGGUAGAAAUAUUAUUUCAAU
rnacentral:rRNA from 1 species